rnacentral:tRNA from 1 species
AUAGCACGUAGUUUAUGUAAAACAUUGGUUUGUGGUACCAAAAAAGGCCAGGCUCUGCUAUG